UAUGUAGGGAGCGAGCGUUGUCCGGAAUCAUUGGGCGUAAAGAGCAUGUAGGUGGAUCAAUUAGUCUGCUGUGAAAGUCAAAGGCUCAACCUUUGAAAGCCGGUGGAUACUGUUGAUCUAGAGUACGGAAGAGGCGAGUGGAAUUCCUGGUGUAGCGGUGGAAUGCGCAGAUAUCAGGAGGAACACCAAUAGCGAAGGCAGCUCGCUGGGACGUUACUGACACUGAGAAUGCGAAAGCGUGGGGAGCAAACAGG
rnacentral:rRNA from 1 species